rnacentral:tRNA from 1 species
GGAGAGGUGGCACAGUGGUCGAAUGCACCGCACUCGAAAUGCGGCAUACGGGCAACCGUAUCGAGGGUUCGAAUCCCUCCCUCUCCGCCA